AGAUCAACUUGAAAAUGUACCUAUAUCAAAGAAAAGGAAAGUAACAGAUUCAUAUGAAAAUAGUGAAAGAUAGAACCCAUGCCUCAUAAUAAAAACAAGUGUCCUCCAGGUCAAAUGUCAGAUCGUCAUGGAAAUUGUAGAGAAGUGUACCGUAAAUAAGCAAUGGUUCGACUAAAGCAAGUUAGUGAUGUAAAGCAAAAAUUGGUAAACGAGAUAUUUAAACCUGCACGCAGGAAUUUUAAACGAAGACGUACUAUAAUUAAAGGAUUGGAUGAUUUAUGUCGUAAUCGACUGUUUUUCUAAAUUUUUAUGGACCAGACCACUGAAAUCGAAAUCAGCUAAUGAGGUUAGCAGAGCUAUGGAAUCAAUACUGAAGAAUGAAAAAGAACGAAUACCAAAGAAUUUACAGUCAGAUCAAGGAAAGGAAUUUUAUAAUACCACUUUUCAGGAUUUGAUGAGACGUUAUAAUAUUAAUCACUAUAGUACGUACAGCGUUAAAAAAGCAGCAAUUGCUGAACGAGUUAUACGUACUUUAAAAUCCAAAAUUUAUCGAUAUUUUACGUUAUUUGCGACACAUAAAUGGAUAAAUAAAUUGCAAGAGAUAACCAAAAAUUAUAAUACUACAAUACAUCGAACAACAGGAAGGAAACCCACAGAGAUAAACGCUUCGAAUCAAGGAGACAUAACAGCAUAUGAUCAUCUAAAGAUUGUUGAUAAAAACAGAAAAAAAUUUAAAGUCGGAGAUUUCGUAAGAAUUAGCAAAGAAAAGAUGUUAUUUGAAAAAGGAUAUACACCCAAUUGGUCAACGGAAAUUUUUAAAAUCAGUAAGAUUAAUCUAACCAAUCCUGUAACAUUUCUGCUAGAAGAUAAAGAAGGUCAACCAAUCAAAGGAGCUUUUUAUAUUUGGGAAUUAUCAAAAACUCAAUAUCCUGACGUCUAUUUAGUUGAGAAAGUGAUUCGACGUAAAGGAACUAAAUUAUUUGUGAAAUGGUUAGGUUUACCAGAUAAUCAGAAUAGUUGGAUUGAAAUGAAAGAUAUUACCUAAUAAAUAAGAAAUAUAUAUACGAUAUAAUUAUUUAACGUCUAAUUUAGUUCCAUUUAAGAUGGCAACGAGUGUAGAACCUGUUAUAAAAAAAGUGCUGCAUUUUGAAAAAACCAUAAGCGAUAUUCGAUUACUAAUGAAACUGGAACUACUGAAAUUAGGACCGUGCCAGUUGAUGGAUAUAUUUCAUAAAUUACCGGAAACAUAUCAACAAGAUCAUGAUAUAAAGCUGAAUCUACCAUGUUUACAACAUUAUUAUAACAGUUUUGACGAAGAUCAGUUUGAUGGUCCUCCUUCAUCAAUAAAUAAUUGUGUUUCGUGUAUUUUAGAUGAUACAGGAAGCCAACAACAACAACAACAACAACAACAACAACAACAACAACCCACUGCGUUUCAAGUGUAAUGCCUCUUUUGAACUCAUCACUCAUCUUGUUUGUUACUCUUAUACAAAAUGUGUUGUACGUGCAAAAACCGUUAGAUGUUGUAGAUAUGUACAUCGUCUUCACUAGUGAAAGUCCUAACAACACAAGAUGGUCUCCUCUCUGGAAAAGUUUAUUUUUCAACGAUGUUGAUUACCAAUGGAAGAAGAUGAAUCUGGGUUAUUUGAGCAAUACUGCAAUAGAAAUAUUUAAAUAUGAAAAUGUUUCUAUAGCAAACUCUGUAAUAUAUUUUAAAUUAAGACUAGUUUUUACCAAUAGUAAUUAUAUUGAUACUGACUGGAAGAGACUUAUACUUAAUGAUCAUGAUGUAGUUUCAAUAAAAAAUUGUUUUAAUCAUGUUCCUACCUUUUUAGCAAUGUUUGGAAUUGUUUGUACAUGUUGGAUCGUUUUUAUGAUGUUCAUAGCGUUAGGUUUGGCUUAAAAACUGCAAUUAAAAAUUUAUUUAGGUGUAUGACUUUGUUAGUUUAAGUAUGUAGUUUGUUUUAUGUCUAAUAAAAAAUAAUAUUCAUUCUGAUUAUUUUUGUUAUCAUAUUUCCUGUCUAACGUUUUUUUCCUUAAAAACGUUAAAUUUUUAUCAGUUAUAUUUUGAAUUUUUUGAAUUUUUACGUAAGGAACCACAAUAUCCGGUUGCAAAGUUUAUGGAAUAUAAAAUCAUAUCGCAUCAAUGAUUAAUUCAUUUCUACUUCGACUGUCCGUGUAUGAAAGUAAUCAUGUUCAAGUGCUCUCAAUGCGAUAACAAGUUUACUCGCAAAGAUGCUUUAACACGUCAUGUAAAAAAACAUAGUGAUAAAUUAUCUAAACUCACUUGCACCGGAUGUAAAACGUCAUUUACGAGAUUUGAUAACUAUAGGCGUCAUAUUACAAAUUCAUCAUUGUGUUCAAUGGAUUCGGAUGAUAUGACUCCUAAAAAAGCCCGCCUGACAACUAGAACACCUUUACAAGAAGUUACUACUAACGCUCCAUCAUGUUCAUUUCAUCAAUUUUGUGAAAUAUGCAAUAGUCACUACAGAGGAUCCAGAUUAAACCAUUUACGUUCUUUAAAACAUAAAAGUGUCAUCUCCGCCAAAAUUAAUGAUGAUGAUGAUUUCGUUGAAGAAUAUCAAGUUGCCUUCAAAUCAAGAAUUACCUCAUACCGAUUGAAAAAUUCACAACUAGAUGACUUGGAAGUGUGCAAUUUUUUUGAAAGAAAUCAAGAUAAACUUAUCACUUUAAUAACUAGAAAACUGAGAGAAUUUAACCAACUUAAAAUUAAUUUCGAACUUUUUGCUAAAUAUAUUUUACCUUCUAAAGACAUUAUCGAAAUCAAAUCAUUCAACACUAAAAAUAUCAUCAUUUCAAUAUCGACAAAUAUUAAGGUAGAACUGGAAGAAAUAUGUGGCGUCAUAAAAAACAAAAUGAGUGAAUUCUUGGAAAAAGAUAGUGGUUGGAUUUUAAUGGAAAUUUUGUUUUUGGAACUUAAUAUCAACAAAUUCAAUCCACUACGUGCAUCAACAUAUAUACCAUUACCGAAGGACAUAGCGAAGCGGAGAGCGGUUAUCAAUAUUCAUAAUGAUGAUAAUGAAUGUUUCAAAUGGUCUGUUUUGGCACACCUUCAUUCAACUGAAGUAAAUGUUAAUCGACAUCGAGUUGAUGCUUAUCGUGAGUUUGAAGAGGAAUUAGAUUUUACAGAUAUUUCAUUUCCGGUUAAAUUAACUGAUAUUUUUAAAUUUGAAGCACUUAAUAAUAUUAGUGUAAAUGUCUAUGGAACAGAGCAGCGUUUUGAUCAUGAAAAAGGUAAAUGGGUAUCAGAUAUUAUAGGUCCCUUUUAUUUAACUUCUAAGAAACGAGACAUUCAUGUAAAUUUAUUACUUAUCGUAGACGAUGAAAGAAUGAUCAAACAUUACUGUCUGAUAAGCAACAUUUCUCGAUUAAUAAGUUCACAACUUUCCAAACAUAAUCAUGCUAAAUUUAUAUGUAACGGUUGUCUAUUAUUUUUUUCGAGUGAACAAAAAUUAGUUAAACAUCGUAAGUAUGCUUGUAAUGAAGUUGUCACUACAUUACCAACUUCUGAUCUGAUUAUAAAUAAAUUUGGUAAAGAAGUGCCUGGUAAUGAAUUAACAUUUCAAAAUUUUGAUAAAUCUCUUAAAGUUCCUUUUGUAUUUUAUUUCGAUUUUGAAUCUAUUUUAAAACCUUUACGCAAUGAUAAUUCAGCCGAUAAUAUCCGUACAAUUGUUACACAUUUACAUGAACCAUAUAGUUUCGGAUAUUACAUAAAAUGUGCAUAUAAUGAUAAUUUAUCAAUUUAUCGGACUUAUCGAGGAAAAGAUGCUCCUAAAAUUUUUGUGAAAUGGUUGCAAGAUGAUGUAAAUAGACUUUAUCACGAUCACCUCAAACAUAUCGUACCACUUGAAAUGACUCCGUUAGAUGAAUUGGUUUUUCAAAUAUCUACCCAUUGUCAUUUAUGUAAAGAACCUUUCAAAACAGAUUACGGAAGUCUAAAUUGUGAUAGAGUUCGUAAUCAUUGUCACUUAACAGGUGAAUUUUUAGGACCUGCACAUUCUAUUUGUAAUUUAAAUUAUAAGAUUCCAAAAUAUAUCCCUGUUUUUUGUCAUAAUUUAACUAAUUAUGAUAGUCAUUUAUUUAUUAAAGCUUUAGCAACAGAAAAGACCAUCAUUAAUUGCAUUGCUCAAACUAAAGAAAAGUAUAUUACAUUUUCAAAAAAAAUUUUAGUUGAUAAGGUCAUGAACACGACUACAAAUACAGUUGACAAUAUUUUUAUAACGCUUAGAUUCGUAGAUUCGUUCCGUUUCCUUUCUUUUUCAUUAGAUAAAUUAUCUCAGACUUUAACUUCUAAUGAAUGUCUAACCAUUCGGAAACACUUUCCGGACGAUAACCAAUUUAAUUUGAUAAGACAAAAAGGUGUUUUUCCAUAUUCAUAUUUGGAUUGUUUUAAUAAGUUAGAUGAUACCAGUUUACCAUUGAUUCAACAAUUUUAUGAUAAUCUUAAUAAAACUGAUAUCAGUGAACAUGAUUAUGAGCGAGCACAGGAAGUCUGGAAUCUAUUUGAUUGCAAAACGUUAGGUGAUUAUUCCGACAUUUAUUUAAAGUCUGAUGUUUUGUUACUAACAGACAUUUUUGAAAAUUUCAGAAAGGUUUGUCUCAAAAUUUAUGAACUAGAUCCAGCUCAUUACUUAACAGCACCUUCAUUAGGCUGGGAUGCUAUGUUAAAAAUGACUGGAAUUAAAUUCGAAUUGUUAACUGAUAUAGACAUGGUACAUUUCUUUCGAAAAUCUAUUAGAGGAGGACUUUGUCAAUGUUCAAAACGUAAAGCAGUAGCAAAUAAUAAGUUUUUAUCAAAUCAUGAUCCUUCUAAACCAACUUCUUUUAUAAUGUACCUUGAUGCAACCAACUUGUAUGGAGCAGCAAUGUCUGAAUAUUUACCUUAUAGCGGUUUUCGAUGGGAAGAUCCUAAUGAAUUCAAUGAUAACCUAAUUCUCAAUUUGACAGAUAACGCUGAUGUAGGUUAUAUAUUCGAAGUUGAUUUAGAAUAUCCUUCUGAAUUACAUAAUCUUCACAACGAUUUACCAUUUUGUCCUGAAAAAUUUAUUCCUCCCUCUAGUAAAACUGAGAAACUUUGCGCAACCUUGAACAAUAAAGUACACUAUGUUUUACAUUAUCGAAAUUUAAGACAAGCUAUACAAGGUGGUUUAAAAUUAAUUAAUAUUCACCGUGUUUUAAGUUUUAAUCAAUCACCAUGGUUGAAAACAUAUAUUGAUUUAAAUACAGAAAUGCGUAACAAAUCAAAAAACGCGUUAGAAAAAGAUGUAUUUAAAUUAAUGAAUAAUUCAGUUUUUGGUAAAACCAUGGAAUCAAUUGAUAAAAGAGUAAACGUGAAAUUGGUAACAUCAUGGAAUAAUAUAGGUAGAAAACCAGGUGCUGAAAGUUUAAUUGCACGACCAAAUUUUAAAAAUUCAUCUAUCUUUACACCAAAUUUUGUAGCUAUUCAAUUAGAGAACGAAAAAGUUUUCUACAAUAAACCUCUGUAUGUAGGUUUUACUAUUCUAGAUAUCAGUAAAACUAUUAUGUAUGAUUUUUAUUAUAAUUUCAUAAAACUUAAAUACGGUAACAAUGCAACGCUUUUGUAUACCGAUACUGAUAGUUUAGUAAUUGAAAUUUUUUGUGAAAAUAUUUAUGAUGAUAUUAAAUCUAAUAUAGAGCGUUUUGAUACUUCAAAUUAUAAAGCAGAAAAUAUUCAUGGAAUACCUGUAUCGUCUUCUGUCAUCGGGAAGAUGAAAGAUGAAUAUAAAGGACGUGUAAUAUCAGAAUUUUUAGGAACAGGUGCUAAAGCAUAUUGUGUGGAUGUUGAAGGUGAAUUAUCUAAAAAAGCUAAGGGUAUUAAACACAAUGUAAUUACAAGUGAAUUACAUAAAAUUGACUACCAAAACGCAGUUACUGUUCCAAACACUGAAAUUAUUAAAGAAAUGAAUAUCUUUCGUUCGAAGCUUCAUAACAUUUACACAGAAUUAAAGAAAAAAAUUGCUUUAUCUUUCAAAGAUGAUAAACGUUACAUCUUAAACAAUUCUGAAGGUAGAACAUUAUCUUGGGGUCAUAAAAAUAUUCUUCCUCAAACUCAGGAAUAAUAUUUAAUUUGUAUUGUAGUUAUUGUAUUAUAAUGUUUAUGUAUUAUAAUAUGUAUGUAUGUAUGUACUUAUAUUUAGAUGUAAUAAACAAUUAAAGUAAUUUAUUGUUUUUAUUAUUAUCCAUUAACCAAAUAGCUUAUGUGAAUUUGUUUCAGGUUUCCAAAAUAGACAGCACUAUCCACUCUACCUACCUGAGGUUCGACUCCCCAUGGAAGGAACAACAACAACAACAACUUUUUUUGCAUUAUAUUUUAAACAAAUAACAAAAUAAACUUGGUGCGCAACAGACAAGUUAGGCAAACAACAUUACAAAAAUAAAAAACUA